rnacentral:rRNA from 1 species
ACACUUUACAAUGCGGGAAACCGCGAUAAGGGAACCCCGAGUGCCAGCAUCAAAUGUUGGCUGUCCAGAUGAUUAAAAAUCAUUUGUUAGCAAGGGCCGGGCAAGACCGGUGCCAGCCGCCGCGGUAACACCGGCGGCCCGAGUGGUAGCCGYUUUUAUUGGGUCUAAAGGGUCCGUAGCCGGCCUGAUAAGUCCUUUGGGAAAUCUGGCAGCUUAACUGUCAGGCUUCUAAGGGAUACUGUCAGGCUUGGGACCGGAAGAGGUAAGGGGUACUCCAGGGGUAGGAGUGAAAUCUUGUAAUCCCUGGGGGACCAUCUGUGGCGAAGGCGCCUUACCAGAACGGGUCCGACGGUGAGGGACGAAAGCUAGGGGAGCAAACCGGAUUAGAUACCCGGGUAGUCCUAGCUGUAAGCGAUGCUCGCUAGGUGUCAGACACGGUGCGACCGUGUUUGGUGCCGCAGGGAAGCCGUUAAGCGAGCCACCUGGAAGUACGUCGCAAGGC